rnacentral:rRNA from 1 species
CGAACCGUGCGAACGUUAUUCGGAAUCAUUGGGCUUAAAGGGCGCGUAGGCGGCGGUGUAAGUUGGAAGUGAAAUCCCAUCGGCUCAACCGUGGAAUUGCUCCCAGUACUGCAUCGCUCGAGGGGGAUAGGGGUUUGCGGAACUACCGGUGGAGCGGUGAAAUGUGUUGAUAUCGGUGGGAACGCCAGUGGCGAAAGCGGCAAACUUGACCCUUCCUGACGCUGAGUGCGCGAAAGCUAGGGGAGCAAACGGGAUUAGAUACCCCGGUAGUCCUAGCCUUAAACGUUGGGUACUGAGUAGAAAGGGGACCGAUACCCCCUUCUGCUGGAGCGAAAGUGUUAAGUACCCCGCCUGGGGAGUAUGGUCGCAAGGCUG